CGCGGGGGCAGGGAUGGCAGGUGGAGGCUGGGACCCGCUCUAGGCAGGGACAGGGCGGGGGGGGGAGACCCCUGGGGGCUGGGGCCCGCUCCAGGCAGGGUCGGGGAAGAGACCCAGCUCCAAAUAUUGCUGGAGCUGGGCCCCCGGCCCUGAAUAUUGCUGGAGCUUGGACACCACAAAAGAAUAUAACCCGCCGCCUAUGUCCACGUGUCUUAAUUAUCCUGCCUGUCUUAAUUGGUUCUAGCAGGUUCCUGAUUACUCUAGUGCAGCCCCUGCUCUGGUCACUCAGGGAACAGAAAACUACUCAUCCAGUGACCAGUAUAUUUGCCCUCUACCAGACUCCUCUACUCCACUGGUCUGGGUCUGUCACAGUAUUUUGUUUAACUUUUAGACAAAUGAGAUAUAGAAAUUGGAAAACAAGAUAAAGAAAUAAGCAAACUACAUACAGAAAUUGACAAACGAGAUAAAGAAAUAAGCAAACAAGAUAACAAAAUAAUGAAUGUGACUCUGGAUCCUGACACGGCUCAUCCCCGACUUGUCAUGUCUGAGGAUCGGAAAAGUGUGAGAUGGGGAGACACACGGCAGGAUCUGCCCAACAACCCUGAGAGAUUUGACUUGGAUCCCUGUGUGCUGGGCUGUGAGGGAUUCACCUCGGGGAGACAUUGCUGGGAGGUGGUGGUGGGGGUUGGGCGAUUCUGGGCUGUGGGGGUGGCCAGAGAGUCUGUGAGGAGGAAGGGAGGGAUCAGCCUCAGCCCUGAUGAGGGGAUCUGGGCUGUGGAGCGGUGGAGGGAUCAGUUCCAGGCUCUCACCUCCCCUGAGAUCCCCCUGCCCCUGAGCCAGAUCCCCAGCAGGAUUCGGGUUUGUCUGGACUGUGACCAGGGGCAGGUGACAUUUAUCGAUGCUGGUGAUGAGGCCCCGAUCUUCACUUUCCCGCCAGGCUCUGUCCCUGGGGAGAGAAUCCGACCCUGGCUCUGGGUGGGGUGGGGAUCCCGGAUCAGACUGUGUCCCUGAGACUGGGGACCCUGAAAUUAGCAUCUCUAGCCUCACAUUCCCCAGUCUCUAUGACUCUGUGGGACUCCCAUCUACCCAGCCUCUGGGAUCUCAUCUCUAUGACCCCUGGAAGCUCCUCCCUCUCUCUGCAGCCCCAGGAAUGGGGGGAAGGGGGGCAGGGUGUGAAGAACCCUGGGGCUGCAGGAGGGGCAGAUGGGCCCUGAGGGAAGACCUAGGGGCUGGGCAGGGGGCAGAACUAACAGCCGGGCUGGGCACAGGCAGAUGUGGGGGUGGCAGGGACACAGAAUGAAUCAAUCAGGGUUUGGGGGGUUGGGGAGAAGCUGGAAGCUCCACAGCAGCAGGGAGCAUUUUGUACAGAUUGGUGGGAUUAGAUCUCAUUGGGGCUCCCAGCCAGAGCUCCUGCCACAGGGGCCCUAUCACCGUCCUCUGUAUCUAUGGGAGACCCAGUAACACUGUAAUUGUCACACACAUGCGGGAUGGGCAGGGAGAGUUAAAAAAUCAGAAGAUAAAGCAGGAUACCUUAUAUAUUGUUUUGAGCCUCAUGUUUUGGGGGGAGUCAAGUUCAUGAUUUUUGGUUCUGACUCAUGAUUUCUAAGUUUGAGUCAUGGGCCGGGCGGGGUGGGGGGUGGGGGGCGGGCUGGGUUGAACCAGAAGGAACAGAGGAAAAACAAGGAAAAAAUAAAGUAAAAGAAAACAGAGUCCUGGAGAAAGGGUGAAAAUUAAAUAUAAAAACAAUGAAAGGUAAACACUCUGAAGAGGGGAAAGAGCCAGAGGCAGUGAGAGGGGAAGGGAUAAACUUCGGGGAAAGAAUGGAGAACAUGAGGGGAAUGAUCUGUGAGAAGGAUCAGAGGAGAGUGGAAGACACAGAGAAAUAAACAGGGACGGGAAAUGAGUGCUAGAAAAAUGGUGAGUACAAAUAACCAGUGUGACAGAGAAGGGAAAAAAAGGGAUAGAGAAUUAUAAAAUGUCACUGAAGGUGCAACUGUCACUCAUUAAUUUCAUAUGUUACUUCCUUGACUUUGUUGCCAUUUUAGUUUCAUUAAAAAUAACUGUUCCCGAAA